rnacentral:rRNA from 1 species
ACGCGUAAGAACUUGCCUCACAGACUGGGACAACAUUUGGAAACGAAUGCUAAUACCGGAUAUUAUGAGAUAUGCGCAUGCAUAACUUAUGAAAGCUAUAUGCGCUGUGAGAGAGCUUUGCGUCCCAUUAGCUAGUUGGAGAGGUAACGGCUCACCAAGGCGAUGAUGGGUAGCCGGCCUGAGAGGGUGAACGGCCACAAAGGGACUGAGACACGGCCCUUACUCCUACGGGAGGCAGCAGUGGGGAAUAUUGGACAAUGGACCAAGAGUCUGAUCCAGCAAUUCUGUGUGCACGAUGAAGUUUUUCGGAAUGUAAAGUGCUUUCAGUUGGGAAGAAGAAAGUGACGGUACCAACAGAAGAAGCGACGGCUAAAUACGUGCCAGCAGCCGCGGUAAUACGUAUGUCGCAAGCGUUAUCCGGAUUUAUUGGGCGUAAAGCGCGUCUAGGCGGCAUAGUAAGUCUGAUGUGAAAAUGCGGGGCUCAACUCCGUAUUGCGUUGGAAACUGCUAUGCUAGAGUACUGGAGAGGUAAGCGGAACUACAAGUGUAGAGGUGAAAUUCGUAGAUAUUUGUAGGAAUGCCAAUGGGGAAGCCAGCUUACUGGACAGAUACUGACGCUAAAGCGCGAAAGCGUGGGUAGC